rnacentral:rRNA from 1 species
AAUAGAUACCCGGGUAGUCCUUGCCGUAAACUAUGUAUACUUGGUGUAGCUGGACUCAACCCCAGCUGUGCCGUAGCUAACGCGAUAAGUAUACCGCCUGGGGAGUACGCUCGCAAGGGUGAAACUCAAAAGAAUUGACGGGGACCCGCACAAGCAGUGGAGCAUGUGGUUUAAUUCGAUGCAACGCGAAGAACCUUACCCAGGCUUGACAUAUAGAGGAAUAUGGCAGAGAUGCCAUAGCCCGCGAGGGUCUCUAUACAGGUGCUGCAUGGCUGUCGUCAGCUCGUGCCGUGAGGUGUUGGGUUAAGUCCCGCAACGAGCGCAACCCUUAUCAUUAGUUGCCAGCACGUAAUGGUGGGAACUCUAGUGAGACUGCCCGGGUUAACCGGGAGGAAGGUGAGGAUGACGUCAAGUCCGCAUGGCCCUUAUGUCUGGGGCUACACACGUGCUACAAUGGUCGGUACAGAGGGAAGCCAAGCCGCGAGGCGGAGCAAAUCCAUAAACGCCGGCCCCAGUUCAGAUUG